UUGUCUAACGCUGUUUGAUAUAAUAUGAUAUGUCUCUAUAAAAGAUACAAAACACAAAAUACGAUUUCUUAUCAAUGUAGAAGUUUGUAUGUUUGUUUUCACAACAAUUAAGACUACGCCCACCAGUCUUAUCAGUAGGCUUUUAUCACCACAACGUGUUAUCAGCAAUUUACUUCAACUACGCUAAAGUUCAAGCUAUCAAAGUCUGAGAAAACGACAUGGAUUGGAAAAGACCGUGUUAUUUCCAGGUGUGACAACUGGUAUUUACCUGGUCUCCGUGACGUAACAUCAGGACAGCAGCUGGUGACUGUCACGAAUGGUUGCAGAUGAUGAGAUCUAUAAAACAAUUCUCUUGGAAAUUGUUCCGAAAUCUGUUCAUCAGGCCUGACGAAGUUACUGUAUAAGUAGUGAACUGAUGGGGUGGAGUAAUGGGAAAAUGCGAUCUUAGCCAGAGUGGAGCAGUCAAGAUAAAAGACAACGAUUUACUGCAGUUCAGUAAAAUCAUCAAAAUAGCCAGAACCGGAUUUCUUGCCAAAAUCGUAAAAUUUAUUUUAAAAAACUCAAGUAAUUAAUUACUUCAAGUUACAUAAGUAAGCCUAAGUUAUAAAUAAAUACUUAAGCCUAAGUAUUAACAAAAUAUAUAAGGCAAGUUCUUUAUAUGGGGAACAUUUUUCAAAAUCAUAAGAAUUUACUUUGUAUACAAAAGACAUAAAAAACGUACUUCAACUUAAAAGAAAGUGCCGAUAAUUUUUAAAAUUUUUGUUCUAACACUCAUGUGCACAAAAGACAAAAACUAAAAACAGACUUCAACAUAAAACAAAGUGCCGAUAAUGUUUUUAAUUUUUAUGCUACAGCUCAUCUUCCGUAGCGAAGAACGCGGAAAACGUAUUCAAGGUAAAAAUUAGAAAAAAAAAGUAUUCAGUAAGAUAACACAGCUGACAUGUAACGCAUGGAAUCUUGAAUAGAGUUUAAAGUUGUUUUUUUUUCACUUUUCUGCCACCAACUACUCGUGAUGCGUUAUGUAAAGCUAAACUUAACAACUACCAAUUGUACUAGUGUUGUCGAUAUUGUAGCUUGAAUGAGAGGAUAUGUCUAUCAAGAAAUGUUAAAUCUAUAUACCAACUGAAUACAGUAUCAUUGUAAAGAGAAACUUUCCGGUUUUUAUUGUAUGGAUAGAAACUAAAGUACUUCAAAAUCUAAGCAGUAAAUUUUUGUAUAUUCCAGAUAAGAAAAAAAAAUCACUUCAAAAUUGAAAGUGAACAAAUAAGUUUCAAUAUUAGUAUCACGAGGAUUGAACACUAAAUUUUAGCGUUUAAGACCUAAAGCUUACUGCUGAGCCACUGAUGGGUUUGACAUUUGUUGAUAAUAGAUAAUAGAUUAUCCUCAUGAGGAUAAUAGAUGUCUUUUUUUAUCCUUCUUCCAAAUAAACUGA